AUUCAUGGCUCAGGAUGAACGCUAGCUACAGGCUUAACACAUGCAAGUCGAGGGGCAGCAUGAACUUAGCUUGCUAAGUUUGAUGGCGACCGGCGCACGGGUGAGUAACACGUAUCCAACCUUCCGUUUACUCAGGGAUAGCCUUUCGAAAGAAAGAUUAAUACCUGAUAGUAUGGUGAGAUUGCAUGAUAACACCAUUAAAGAUUUAUUGGUAAACGAUGGGGAUGCGUUCCAUUAGGUAG
rnacentral:rRNA from 1 species